rnacentral:lncRNA from 1 species
UUCGACUUAAGAUGCAUGAGAUGAAGUGAUAAAUGUGAAGACAGUUUGAAGAUAAAAAUAACGAUUCAGAUUUCUGUUUACUCAUGAAAAUAUUUUAAGAGAUAGAAAUCAUUCCUUGAGCCACAGAGAUAUGUAUCCUUUAAAAUGAUAGCAUGCACAUGACUUAUGAACAUAGUAUGUCUAGAUGAUGCAUGCAUGCAGUUGAUGAUGGCAAGUAGUUUGAGGAUCAGUCAUGUAAAGGAAAAUAGAUUAAUUGGCAUAAAAAGAGAUAUUUAUGUUUUGAGAUCCUAGAUAUACCAGAUCUGUGUUGACACAGAGACCAAAAGAUUUAGAGAUCGUGGACGACGGAGGAUGUUGAGACAGCGUCCCUUUCCUUUGAUGAUUUGCAAAACCUAGCAGCGACACAGCUUCAGCGACUUGAUUAGGACUCCACCACAUGUGACUCUGAUACCAUGAAAAGAGUCUUGAGUAGAGACAACGGCGACAGCGAGACCCAAGGUCGAGAAGAGUUGGUGAAAGGGUUUUGGAGAAGUGAAGAGUCGCGACGCUUGAGUUGGGGGAAAACCCGUUUUUUAGGGUUUUAGAUUAAGUAAAAAAGUUAAUAAAGAUUAUUACAAAAGAAUUAUUUAUACUUCAGAUCAAACUAACCUAUGGGCCUUGAGUUAUGGGCUUUGAACUAUCUAUCUAAACUAAAUAGAAGAUAAAUAUAUAAGAGCUUCAAUAAACUUCAAUAACUCCCAACAAUAACAAUUUUAACAUCAACAAUGAAAAUUGGGCUCAACACCAACAAUGACAAUCUCACAAAUCACAACCAACAAUGAUAAUCUCACAACCACCACCUGCAAUGGUAAUCUCACCACCUGCAAUGACAAUAUUCACCUACAUUAAUAACUAUUGAUCAUUUCAUUUUCUAUGAUCAUUUAAUUCUAUGGUGCAAAUAAUAGUCAAUAUGCAAAUAAUAGUCAAAAUCUGUUUAUCUUCUUUAAUUUCCUUUAUCAUUUGAGAUUGCAUCCUUUAGGGUUACUAAAAAAUAAAAAAUAGAGAUGACAAAUUUUUGUUAAAAUCUAAGGUUAAAAAAAGAAUGGAAGAGAUGAGAAGAAAAAUAAAAAAAAUUAAGGAAUGAAAAAAUUAUAUCAAGAAUUGAAGAAAUUGAAGAAUAGAUGAGAAGAUCAAAAGAUACCUCGAGAAUGAAAGAAUGAAGCUUGUUGGAUGCUCGUUGGAGUUGUUUGAGGUGACCCGAAGUCCUAUAAUUUAGGGUUAGGGAAAGGAAAAUAAAAAGGAGAAAUCGUGAGAUCUAACGGAGAAAUUUCGAUAUGGGUAUUUG